GACGAACGCUGGCGGCGUGCUUAACACAUGCAAGUCGAACGGAAAGGCCCUGCUUGCAGGGUCCUCGAGUGGCGAACGGGUGAGUAACACGUGGGUGAUCUGCCCUGCACUUCGGGAUAAGCCUGGGAAACUGGGUCUAAUACCGGAUAGGAGCCAUUUUUAGUGUGAUGGUUGGAAAGUUUUUUCGGUGUAGGAUGAGCUCGCGGCCUAUCAGCUUGUUGGUGGGGUAAUGGCCUACCAAGGCGGCGACGGGUAGCCGGCCUGAGAGGGUGGACGGCCACAUUGGGACUGAGAUACGGCCCAGACGCCGACGGGAGGCAGCAGGGGGGAAGAUUGCACAAUGGGCGCAAGCCUGAUGCAGCGACGCCGCGUGGGGGAUGACGGCCUUCGGGUUGUAAACUCCUUUCGCUAGGGACGAAGCUUUUUGUGACGGUACCUAGAGAAGAAGCACCGGCUAACUACGUG
rnacentral:rRNA from 1 species